rnacentral:rRNA from 1 species
AACGAACGCUGGCGGCAGGCCUAACACAUGCAAGUCGAACGCCGUAGCAAUACGGAGUGGCCGACGGGCGAGUAACGCGUGGGAACCUUCCCUAUGGUUCGGAAUAGCUCAGGGAAACCUGGGGUAAUACCGGAUAAGCCCUUCGGGGGAAAGAUUUAUCGCCAUUGGAUGGGCCCGCGUAGGAUUAGCUAGUUGGUGAGGUAACGGCUCACCAAGGCGACGAUCCUUAGCUGGUCUGAGAGGAUGAUCAGCCACACUGGGACUGAGACACGGCCCAGACUCCUACGGGAGGCAGCAGUGGGGAAUAUUGGACAAUGGGCGAAAGCCUGAUCCAGCCAUGCCGCGUGAGUGACGAAGGCCUUAGGGUUGUAAAGCUCUUUUGGCGGGGAAGAUAAUGACGGUACCCGCAGAAUAAGCUCCGGCUAACUUCGUGCCAGCCGCCGCCGUAACAC